rnacentral:rRNA from 1 species
CCCGUGUUUACUGUACCUUAGUUGCUUCGGCGGGCCCGCCAUUCGUGGCCGCCGGGGGCUCUCAGCCCCGGGCCCGCGCCCGCCGGAGACACCACGAACUCUGUCUGAUCUAGUGAAGUCUGAGUUGAUUGUAUCGCAAUCAGUUAAAACUUUCAACAAUGGAUCUCUUGGUUCCGGCAUCGAUGAAGAACGCAGCGAAAUGCGAUAACUAGUGUGAAUUGCAGAAUUCCGUGAAUCAUCGAGUCUUUGAACGCACAUUGCGCCCCCUGGUAUUCCGGGGGGCAUGCCUGUCCGAGCGUCAUUGCUGCCCAUCAAGCACGGCUUGUGUGUUGGGUCGUCGUCCCCUCUCCGGGGGGGACGGGCCCCAAAGGCAGCGGCGGCACCGCGUCCGAUCCUCGAGCGUAUGGGGCUUUGUCACCCGCUCUGUAGGCCCGGCCGGCGCUUGCCGAACGCAAAUCAAUCUUUUUCCAGGUUGACCUCGGAUCAGGUAGGGAUACCCGCUGAACUUAAGCAUAUCAAUAAGCGGAGGAAAAGAAACCAACCGGGAUUGCCUCAGUAACGGCGAGUGAAGCGGCAAGAGCUCAAAUUUGAAAGCUGGCUCCUUCGGGGUCCGCAUUGUAAUUUGCAGAGGAUGCUUCGGGUGCGGCCCCUGUCUAAGUGCCCUGGAACGGGCCGUCAGAGAGGGUGAGAAUCCCGUCUGGGAUGGGGUGUCCGCGCCCGUGUGAAGCUCCUUCGACGAGUCGAGUUGUUUUGGGAAUGCAGCUCUAAAUGGGUGGUAAAUUUCAUCUAAAGCUAAAUACUGGGCCGGAGACCGAUAGCGCACAAGUAGAGUGAUCGAAAGAUGAAAAGCACUUUGAAAAGAGAGUUAAAAAGCACGUGAAAUUGUUGAAAGGGAAGCGUUUGCGACCAGACUCGCCUCCAGGGUUCAGCCGGCAUUCGUGGCC